rnacentral:rRNA from 1 species
AUUGAACGCUGGCGGAAUGCUUUACACAUACAAGUCGAACGGCAGCACGGACUUCGGUCUGGUGGCGAGUGGCGAACGGGUGAGUAACAUAUCGGAACGUAUCCUAUAAUGGGGGAUAACUAAUCGAAAGGUUGGCUAAUACCGCAUACGCCCUACGGGGGAAAGCAGGGGAUCUUCGGACCUUGCGUUAAUGGAGCGGCUGAUAUCUGAUUAGCUAGUUGGUGAGGUAAAGGCUCACCAAGGCGACGAUCAGUAGCUGGUCUGAGAGGACGACCAGCCACACUGGAACUGAGACACGGUCCAGACUCCUACGGGAGGCAGCAGUGGGGAAUUUUGGACAAUGGGCGCAAGCCUGAUCCAGCCAUUCCGCGUGAGUGAAGAAGGCCUUCGGGUUGUAAAGCUCUUUCGCAAGGGAAGAAAACUUACUUUCUAAUAAAGAGUGAGGUUGACGGUACCUUGAUAAGAAGCACCGGCUAACUACGUGCCAGCAGCCGCCGUAA